UACGUAGGGUGCGAGCGUUGUCCGGAAUUAUUGGGCGUAAAGAGCUUGUAGGCGGUUUGUCGCGUCUGCUGUGAAAAUCCGGGGCUCAACCCCGGACUUGCAGUGGGUACGGGCAGACUAGAGUGUGGUAGGGGAGACUGGAAUUCCUGGUGUAGCGGUGAAAUGCGCAGAUAUCAGGAGGAACACCGAUGGCGAAGGCGGGUCUCUGGGCCGAUACUGACGCUGAGGAGCGAAAGCAUGGGGAGCGAACAGG
rnacentral:rRNA from 1 species